GAUACACACACAACAUAUACACACAUACAGGUUACGCAAAAUAUAUAUAAUAUACAAUAUUAUCAAUAUAUUUUCGUGAAGUUUUCAUUGCCUCGUACGCAAGCACACAAGCACGUUAGCACGUACCCAAUUAGGGUUGGAAAAGAAAGAAGAGGCGUGUUAGUUUUCUUCAAAGUUCCCUCCUUCAAAAUCGACGUUCCGUGAGAGACUCAAAUCGUGUACGCGUGCUGUCUAUCUCUUUCUUGUCAUCGUGUCGUCGUUGUCGUCGUCGUCGUCCUCCUACACUACUCCUCGUCGUCGUAGUUGUCGGUAUCGUUCAGAGGAACGAGAGAGGCUAAAGAGAAAACCCUCUCCCGCGGUGUCCUCGUCGUGUAUCGUCGUCGUCGUCGUCGUUGUUGUUGUUGUCAUCGUCAUCGUCGUCGUCGUCGUCGUCGUUGACGUCGGGCGCGCGCUGUGAGAAAAAGAGAGAGAGAGAGAAAACAGCACGGCGGUGUGACAAGGACAAGUACACACAACGUUGUUAAGAUAGAAGAGAAGGAAGCUGACAGAAAGCAAGAGAGAGAGAGAGAGAGAGAGAGAAAGCAAGAAAAGGAGACUACGAGAUUCGGAAUUGACGUGUUUUUGUCAAAAAUAAUAAUUAAUACUAACGACAAAAUUACAUUUAAUAAAAAAAGAGAUAGAAAGGGGAUAGUAAUUGCGUUGUUUUUUCUCGCAUAGUUUGAUUAUUUCAAUUACACGGUUAAUGCGGCUUCUUCAUUUAUCAACGUUCAUCUUUUCUUGGAUGUGUGCGCAUAAGAAAUACAAAUUCAAAAAACAGGAGUAGUUCGAGAAGAAGAAAUAGAAGAAGAGGAUAGAAGAAGAAUACUGAUAAUUAUAAUAAUAAUAGUGCCGUGUUUACACGUGUUUUGUACAGUGUCAAGUGUUAACCAAUCACAGGGAGCGGAAGGAGAACGACACGGGUGGACGACAGCCAAUCAUCUUAUUUCUUCUUUAAAUUACGGACAGUGUUGAUCUCGCGGGCUGUCGAGAUUUCACUCUGGAUACGUCAUUAUAUGCUGGUGGAGGAAGUUGAGUAUAUCGAAGAAGAGGAGGAGGAGGAGGAGGAGGAGGAGGAGGACGGCUCGUCGACGGCCCAGGGCAAUGUGGCUUGUAAGUGGGGAAACUCGAGGAGGUGAUAACGACUUCUGACCUUCCGUGAGAGAGGAGAACCACCCUUUUCCCGUUUGUCACGUUGGAGUGGGCCCAGUAACGCACCAACACCAACCAUUAUCAUCAUUAUCAUUGGGUUCACAUAGAACAACAUCACGAAAUAGAAAAA
rnacentral:misc_RNA from 1 species